GGUUAUAGAGUAUUCCGGUAUGGUGGUGGUGUUAAUGCUGCGGUCAAAACUUAAAAAUAAAUAAAUGAAUAAAAAGCAGCGUGUCUAUCGACGUAUUACAGUGUGAUCAGCUUUAAGGUUUUUAAGUUGGGUUAAAGUUACUUCCGGGAUUACUGUCGCUUUUUGUUACUUCUCCGGUUAACUCGCCAGCUGGCCCUGAAUAUUUUAAAGAAAGUAAAUAAUUUAAGAGUGAAAAUGGUGGCAUUGUACGUCAGCUGAUGUUUAAACAGCAGCGUCAAUGGGAAAGAGGAAGGACAUGAUGAUCCACCCCAGAUAUCUUGUCGGGCUGCUGAUGAACGGACAGUGCAUUUCAGUUCCUCUGCAUCAGGCCACCUGGGACAGCUUUAGCUCACAAAUAUCUUUCUCACACAACCACUCCCUCAUCUCUCCUCUUAUCUCUCAUGCUAUCUCUUCCUUCCACCUUCACUAUUCCCAACGUGUCCAAACCCAGUGGAGCUACACGAAGGAGAAACACUGUGUUUUUUAAUAUGACACAAACUUGAUGUCCAGGCCAGUUGUCUUCACUGCACCAAGUCUGACCUUUACAAUGCUGCUGUUUGUGUGUGUGUGUAAUUUAAUCAAGACAAAUCCAAGAUCGGCCCUAAUCUGUUGUCUCUAACUUUUGCAUAAACACACAGGAGCAGUGUGGAGAUAAAGUUGAGUCUGAGUAAACACCGAAGCACUUCACUCUCAACCUUCACUCUGGUUUUUAAUUCAUUAACUCUCUUCAUGCAACCUUAACCUUAAUUUACUAUAAUGUCUGAACAUUGGAUUAUGAAACAAUAUGUACAGCCCUUCUCUCUCUCACUCGCUCACUCACCCUGAUGACAGGAUCUUGGAAAAGGAGUCAGUCCGUAUUACUCGCCCAUCAACAUCCAUAAAGAGAAACGUAGGAGUCCAUGGCUGAGGAAGGGAAAAACACACUGACUCCAUCUGGCUCUUAAACAGUGGUGACGGUCUUAUCUUUUCAACACUGAAAGUUAUCAGCUUGUGUAGAUAAACGCAAUAACAUGUUAAAGUAUAACUGUAUACAAAUAGUUUAAACAGGCCAAUAAAACAAUCAGCACCUUUUGAAACUGUAGGAAGUAGUACGGGUCAUUCUCAAUGAUAAGGAAAUCAUAAUUCUGUGCCAGCUGUAGAAACGCAACACACACACACACACACACUGUAAACUGUUCUGGCUCUGAGCAGAUUAGAAAGUUAAAUCCAUAAUUUAAUCAGAUGUUCCUAGAAGAACUGUGUACAAAUCACAUAUUACCAAGAAAUAUAAAAUCAGUAACUUCAUAAUGAACAUUUUUUGACCAUUGCUGUUUUUUUUUUAUUUUUACUUAGAAGAGAACUAAAACAAAAGAUCUACACCGAAGAUUGAUCUCUCUCUCUCUCAUAUUGUCCAGAGUACAUUUACAUGCACACAAUAGUUGGAUCACAAUAAUCUGAUAACUCUGGGUCUGUGUAAACCUGUCAAUCAUCAGAUUCUCUACAGUUAGCACCAUUAAAAGUAUUAAAUUAAAAUUAAAAGUAGAUUGCCUGUGUUAUUCUGAUUCCCAGUUCUUGGACUAUUGCCCAUUUCCUGACCACGAUUUGUCUAGCCCUCGUUACUGUUUUGGAUUUCUCGGUAUUGACCUGGCCUGGCUUUUGUACAUUGUCUUUUCUCACUGUGUUCAUUAAAACCUUGAGUUAAUUCUUAA